AAACCAAAGUGUGCAGUCGCCGCUUAUUUUUUAGGAUAUGCGGAGGAAAGUCCGAACAUCGCAGGACAGGGUGCCUGUCGAGAGCUUUUGCUCAAGACGGGGAGCAGCAGUGCAAGCUUCUGCUACAGAAAGUGCAACAGAAAGUAUACCGCCCCGGGUGUUUCCGGAGUAAGGGUGAAAAGGGGGUGUAAGAGACCACCAGACAUGUCAGUAAUGACAUGUGCUAUGAAAACCUCCCCGAUGCAAGGCUGAAUAGGGAAACUUUUUCGAAAGGAAAAAGAAUGGUCCGUUCAAUUCUGAAAGGACACCUUUUUCAGGUAUCGUAAACGGCUUGAGUACUCCAGGCAAUGUGUGGAAAAACCGCCUGAGAAAGUAUUCUGGACGCGGAGGAAGCUGAAAAAGGUGUCCUCAAGAGAGUUUCCGGGUGAGCCGCAUUAGAUAAAUGACUGCAGCUUUGCCGCAAGGCAGAGAACAGAAUUCGGCUUACAGCUUUGGUUUCAGU
rnacentral:RNase_P_RNA from 1 species